AGAAGGGGGCCAGCGUUAUUCGGAAUUAUUGGGCGUAAAGGGCGCGUAGGCGGCCAUGCGUGUCUUCCGUGAAAUCCCUCGGCUCAACCGAGGACGUGCGGAAGAAACUGCAAGGCUCGAGUCCGGAAGAGGGGGGCGGAAUUCCCAGUGUAGCGGUGAAAUGCGUAGAUAUUGGGAGGAACACCAGUGGUGAAGGCGGUCCCCUGGGCCGGAACUGACGCUGAGGCGCGAAAGCGUGGGUAGCAAACGGGAUUAGAUACCCCGGUAGUCCACGCCGUAAACGAUGGGCACUUGGUGUCGCGGGUAUCGACCCCUGCGGUGCCGAAGCUAACGCAUUAAGUGCCCCGCCUGGGGAGUACGGUCGCAAGGCUG
rnacentral:rRNA from 1 species